rnacentral:misc_RNA from 1 species
AAGUCGUAACAAGGUCUCCGUAGGUGAACCUGCGGAGGGAUACAUUACCGAGUGAUGGGCCUCUGGCCCGAACCUCCAAAACCCCUUUGUCAUUAAGACCGUGUUGCCUCGAGGGCGACCCAGGACGUCUCGGCGUCGGGCCCCUCGGUGGACCCUUCAUCAACUCUGCAUCUUUACGUCGGAUUUAUACAAGUUUUAAAUUAUUAAAA